ACAGAAAAGGUUUAACAUAUAAGUGUAAGUUUACUUUGGUUAAAAGCACCAGUAACUUGGGGGACAGCCUAGUUAAGGGGAACUACUUUACUGAUGGGUAUCAGAACGUCAUUCAUGUGUGGACUGUGGGUUUGUUUUUGUGUGGCCUGAGCAUUUUGCUGAGGGUACACCUCCAUUACUGUCAAGCUCCAUGAUCCAUCAGCAGUUGAACCUGUUGGGGCCAGUCCUUCACCUUUUGAUGUCUCUGGUUGUUUUACAUUUUUCUUAUGGUAUGAGAGGGUAGGUAUUAGCUAUAUCUAUUUAUCAUGUUUCACAAGUAAAACACACGCAGCUUGAGUCAGACGUGAAAUACGUGUUGGAACACAACGUUGUUCCAUGUUCCAGUAUACCAUAUGUGCAGUAUCAUUGCAGCAUGCCUAACACCCUCAGGCCUUUUUUCCUACACUGUACUUCCAUUUGGGUUGCAAAAUGCACCAGCUACCCUUUUCCACAGUUGAUGAAUAAGGUAGUUGCUGGGGUUAGAAGGACGCACAGGGUAUUUAGAUGAUAUCAUUGUACAGUGAUACUUGGGAAGAGCAUGUACACUGCAUCAGAGCCUUGCGUGGGACAAUCUUACUGUAAAUCUGACUGAAUGCACGUUUACAGAGAAUUUUGCAGAAAUGUUUCCACAUAAGUUUCAUCUCUUACUAACCCGUUGUUCAAAGGUCAAGUUCGACAGGUCCCGUCAGUUUGCUUUUGAAAAUAUAUCAAAUAAUAAUGUCAAGUGCUUUUUCUUCUUGUCUGGGCAGCUGCCUGUCUGGGAGAACUAUUUCAGUUACAGGUAGAUGCCAGCAACGUGGGAGCUGGAGCUGCCAUGCAGACUGGUACUGAUGUAAUUGACCACACUAUCAGUCUUCUUUCCAGGUGUGAGUUUGUUGUUGAAGUGUGGAAACCCACCUUGCAGGCCACUCUGUGAGGGCAGAGCUUGCCGAAGCCCAGGGGAGGCUGGAUCCUCCUCAGCAGAGUCACUACAUCGAGGUGUUUUAUCCUGCCCCUGACAUCCAGAUAAAUUCAAACAAAAGGCAUUAUACCACUGAGCACAGUCUUCACUACCGCCACAGGCCCUGAUACUGUAAUAACAGAUAGAUAGAUAUUUAGAGUUUUAUGGCUGUUACAAAACAAUGACCAUCCCAUCUGUCUCUACAAAAUGGGACCUUGGUACUCACUUGGCUUCCGGGUCGUAUUCGGACCAGAUCCUUUUAAACUCAUCCAGGUGAUGAGGCCCAAGGAUGGACCAAUCACGGGUCAGAUAGUCAAAGUUAUCCAUGAUGACAGCUACAAAUAGGUUGAUGAUC